UUCUCAUUAUUCCUGCCUCAGGAUGUGGUGGACCACCAUCUGCAGAUGCCGUGUUUAUCCAUCACAGAGAGGAAAACAAGCGUCUGAAAGUAGCUGGAGAUUAAGAAUAGCACAGGAAGCUUGAUUUGGAGGAGCCAUGUGUCACUCAUCUGUGAAAAAGUCUGAAUCGAAAAGUGCAUAAAAAGAUAAACCUGACCCACUGAGGGGCCUGCCCCACACUAGGAAAGCAAAGCUAGACUUUAGCUCAAAAUCAGCCUCAUGCAGAAGUGGCCUGACUCCUCAGAUGGUCUAAGGAGGAGCACAGCUGCUGAGG